rnacentral:lncRNA from 10 species
GUGGGAGAGGAGUGUCGGAGAGGAGACUUACAAGACCAGGAAAGCACUCAGGGGUGCCCAGCAGGACAGCCUCCAGCUCUUCCAAUCAGAGCUGUAACACCAUUUCCUGAAACACCGUUUUCAACUAAGCUUUGGAGUGACAAAAAUACCUGUUAUCACGGACUAAUGCCUCCAGGAAAGAAAUCCUCGUGAUAUGCAUCUGUCCCCAAUAUGGCCACAGUAAAUCUGAGAGGAAGAAGGCACAGGUAAAAAUUAGGCUUGCUCAUAGAAUACAAUAUUUAUGACUGUUGUUUACGCCUGCUUGUUUUACAGAGGAAAAUUAAGAGCUGUGGAAAUUAAAGACUAAGAUACGCAGCUAGCUAAAAGCAGAGCCUAAGUUCCAGGUUCCUGAUCCACUGCUCAUUAUUCUUUGAAGAAAAGAUCACUCAUAUUGUUAAGGAUUCUUUAGAUCUUAUAUAGAAAUCUACAACAUUUACACCUCUAUUCUGAAUAUUUAACUGACUCUGAAAUAUACAAGGCACUGUGCUGGGCCCUGAGGAAUAAAAAUUUUGUGUAAGACUCCAAAGCUGCACUUAGAGGGCUUGUGAUUGUAUGGAGGUAGCUAGUGGGAAGGAGAUUGGAACGUGUUCCCAAAAGUUUCUAGAAAAAAAUAAUUUAAUACAAAUGUUGUGUGAAUGGAACAGAAAGGUACCACAGGUACACUAAGGGUAAAGAAAGUACUUCCUGAGGGAGUAAUCAAUAAAGCUAAGAUUCCUACAAUUGAUCAAUGUCCAACAGGAGACCUUGGGUUUUUCAAUAAAAGCCAUUAAGCAGCAACAGUGAUCUCAAUCCCAUAAAAGGAUUCCAUAAACCAAACAUUUAGUUGGUAUAGAUAAAUAACUGUAAGAUACCUUAUUAAAUGUCCCACUAUUAAAAUUAAGCUUUACAAUUAUCUACCAAUUGGACAAUGCCACCAACACAUGACAGUAUUAGUGUUCUUGUUUUAUAAACGUUGUCGUGUGUGUGUGCGUGCACACGUGUCUUUGUAUAUGAAUGUGUAUGUAUACAUAUAUAACAAACAGGGGUGUUAUUGAAAAACAUUUAAUGAAGUUAAUGUAAAGUAUUAAUGUCCAAAGCAAAAAAUUAAGACUAUAUUUUUAUUUUCUAGACAGAACUAUGUGUUUAUAUGCAUAAUAAAACUGCUUUCCAAGUGAUGUAAGUUCAAGUCACUUUAAUCAUUCCCAAAUCACCUGCUGAGGUUUAGCAUUUCUUUUCCACAUAUCCCAUCACACUGUGUCCCUCCUCACUGGGUUUCCGCUGCACACUUGGUUGCAGUGAAG